rnacentral:rRNA from 1 species
GAUGAACGCUGGCGGCGUGCCUAAUACAUGCAAGUCGAGCGAACGGACGAGAAGCUUGCUUCUCUGAUGUUAGCGGCGGACGGGUAAGUAACACGUGGAUAACCUACCUAUAAGACUGGGAUAACUUCGGGAAACCGGAGCUAAUACCGGAUAAUAUUUUGAACCGCAUGGUUCAAAAGUGAAAGACGGUCUUGCUGUCACUUAUAGAUGGAUCCGCGCUGCAUUAGCUAGUUGGUAAGGUAACGGCUUACCAAGGCAACGAUGCAUAGCCGACCUGAGAGGGUGAUCGGCCACACUGGAACUGAGACACGGUCCAGACUCCUACGGGAGGCAGCAGUAGGGAAUCUUCCGCAAUGGGCGAAAGCCUGACGGAGCAACGCCGCGUGAGUGAUGAAGGUCUUCGGAUCGUAAAACUCUGUUAUUAGGGAAGAACAUAUGUGUAAGUAACUGUGCACAUCAUGACGGUACCUAAUCAGAAAGCCACGGCUAACUACGUG